GCGGUCGUAGCUCAGCUGGUUAGAGCGCUCCCCUGUCACGGGAGAGGUCGCCGGUUCAAAUCCGGUCGACCGCGCAA
rnacentral:tRNA from 1 species